rnacentral:lncRNA from 1 species
GCGAUAAGGAUGCUGGGAUGCAUGCUGCGGGCUCACGUCUGAAGGACACUCCUCUUUCUCUGCCAGAUAGACCUUGAGAUGCUAAUUCGAAAGGAAGCUAGCAGCAAGAUGGUCUAUGAAUCACUUGAGAAUGUGAAUGGAAAACAGAUAAAAGGGUGAUCUUUAUAAAGAUGUAUUGGAGAAUGUGGUUCAGUUUCAUGCAUAUCCUAAUAGUAGCUACAUGUUUUGAUCCUGGUUCGACCACAUCUCCUCCCAAAACUUGUCCAGACCUUUGCAGAUGUGUUUGUAAGCAUGUACAGCAAUUACUACCUCCAUGCUUCUUCUUGGUGAGUUGCAGAAUUAAUAAAAACCUUUGUCUGGUGGAGCUAGCCCAUGGAGGGCAAGGCAGAACUGUCCCCUGGCAAGCAUGCAGGCUUAUGAGA